rnacentral:rRNA from 1 species
UACGGGGGGGGCAAGCGUUGUUCGGAAUUACUGGGCGUAAAGGGCUCGUAGGUGGCCAACUAAGUCAGACGUGAAAUCCCUCGGCUUAGCCGGGGAACUGCAUCUGAUACUGGAUGGCUUGAGUUCGGGAGAGGGAUGCGGAAUUCCAGGUGUAGCGGUGAAAUGCGUAGAUAUCUGGAGGAACACCGGUGGCGAAGGCGGCAUUCUGGACCGACAUUGACGCUGAGGAGCGAAAGCCAGGGGAGCAAACGGG